rnacentral:rRNA from 1 species
UACGUAGGGUGCAAGCGUUUAAUCGGAAUUACUGGGCGUAAAGCGUGCGCAGGCGGUUUUGUAAGUCUGUCGUGAAAGCCCCGGGCUCAACCUGGGAAUUGCGAUGGAGACUGCAAGGCUUGAAUCUGGCAGAGGGGGGUAGAAUUCCACGUGUAGCAGUGAGAUGCGUAGAGAUGUGGAGGAACACCGAUGGCGAAGGCAGCCCCCUGGGUCAAGAUUGACGCUCAUGCACGAAAGCGUGGGGAGCAAACAGG